rnacentral:misc_RNA from 1 species
GCAAGCUUUUGAAGGGAAUUUCUUAGAGGAUUUGGAUUUGGAGAGGGGUUUCUGCAUCAAAGUCUUUUAAGAGUUCUUCUUCCUUUUCUUUUGUUAUUUUUCUUUUUCAUUGGGAACCCAUUUGAUUUUGUUAUGUUUAGUUUUAAUUUGAUUAAUUUUAUUUUGGUUUUUGAUACCAUGAGUGGUUAAAUUGCUUAGCUAGGGAUUUGAUGUAACUUGACCUUAAUUUCAUCUUGAUAUUUUGAUCUAUUUUCUCUAUUCUAGCAAUUGAUGGUUGUUCAUGUUUUUAAUGCUUUAAGUGUUAGAAAUAAUGGUUGAUUGAUUUUUGAUCCAUGAUUUGACUAGGAAGUAGGUUGUGAAUGUUGUUGAGAUAACCAUUAACAUAGAUUUUUAGCUAAGAGUGAAAACUAAGGCUAAAUGUUAUGGGUUGUUUUUUAUAACGU